rnacentral:rRNA from 1 species
CCUACGGGAGGCAGCAGUGGGGAAUAUUGCUCAAUGGGGGAAACCCUGAAGCAGCCACGCCGCGUGAAGGAUGAAGGCUUUAGGAGUUUUAAGCCCUUUUUGUAGGGAAGAAAAUGACGGUACCUGACGAAGAAGCACAGGCUAACUCCGUGCCAGCAGCCGCGGCAAUACGGAGGGAGCCAGCGUUAUUCGGAGUAACUGGGUGUAAAGCGGGCGUAGGCGGCAUAGCAAGUCAGAGGUGAAAUCCAAUGGCUAAACCAUAGAACUGCAUUUGAAACUGUUAAGCUAGAGGGUAGGAGAGGUAGGCGGAAUGCGUGGUGUAGCGGUGAAAUGCGUAGAGAUCAAGAGGAACACCGAUGGCGAAGGCGGCCUACUAGACUAUAACUGACGUUGAUGCACGAAAGCGUGGGGAGCAAACAGGAUUAGAUACCCCUGUAGUC